GUGUCUUGCAUACCGUGUGGAAAGUCCCCUGACUAAAAAUAACACAAUUCUUUAACACAGUGUCAUCAAGCAAGCAAGAUAAGGGCUUAUCCUAGCACUGCUAUUCCACAGGUGGUCAUAAGCGUGGUAUCAAAAUCAGCAGCGAGGCUAUCCGGGUUCCUGCAUGGCUGGCCGGUUUGCCUCUGCUACUUGACAGCUCCUGUCUUUCCACUCCAGCGUCACUGAAUGUUAUCUGCGCAGCUGUGUUAGACUGCAUCCCCAUCCCAGCUUCCCUGUGCGAAGCUCGUGUACCUCUAAGACUGUGAAAAGCCAGGGAACAAUAGUAUCUUGUGUUCCAUUCCCUGUUAUCUGUCCUUCACUCCUUUAUUGAAAAGGCUUACCUCAUUUUCUAUUAAUUACACGAAAACAAUGAUUUUAGCCAAAGAUGGGCUCCCCCGGCGAUUCUGCAACUGUUCUUUAAUCUUGGUUAUGAAGAGAGAACAAUGAAGCUGUUGUGCUGUAGUGGCUAGGAUAGAAAAAAACCUGCAUUUAAAUAACACUGAGAUAAUAUGCGUGCAGCCUUGCAUUGACUCGUACAAAUAUGUAAAAUCCUGAAUAAACGUGCUAUGAGUCUUUGUUAUGAUAAAAGCAA